AACGCUAGCGGCAGGCUUAAUACAUGCAAGUCGAGGGGCAUCAAGGUACACGAAAGUGUAUUGUUGGCGACCGGCGGACGGGUGAGUAAUAGGUAGGUAACCUACCUCAUACUGAGGCAUAGGCUGGGAGAAAUUCCAGGUAAUUCCUCAUGAGGUUAUAUGACACAUGUGAUAUAAUCAAAGGUAUCGCAAGGUACUGGUAUGAGAUGGGCUUACUGACCAUUAGCUAGUUGGUGAGAUAAGAGCUCACCAAGGCGAAGAUGGUUAGGGGUUUUGAGAGAGAGAUCCCCCACAUUGGAACUGAGAUACGGUCCAGACUCCUACGGGAGGCAGCAGUAGGGAAUAUUGGGCAAUGGGCGGAAGCCUGACCCAGCCAUGCCGCGUGAAGGAAGACGGCCUUAUGGGUUGUAAACUUCUUUACUAUGCGACUAACUAGAUUUACGAGAUAAUUCUAUAGAAUGUAGCAUAGCAAAAAGCACCGGCUAACUCCGUG
rnacentral:rRNA from 1 species